UACGUAGGUGACAAGCGUUGUCCGGAUUUACUGGGCGUAAAGAGCGCGCAGGCGGUCGAUCAAGUCGAGUGUGAAAGCCCCCGGCUCAACUGGGGAGGGUCGUUCGAUACUGAUCGACUCGAAGGCAGGAGAGGGUAGUGGAAUUCCCGGUGUAGUGGUGAAAUGCGUAGAUAUCGGGAGGAACACCAGUGGCGAAGGCGACUACCUGGCCUGUUCUUGACGCUGAGGCGCGAAAGCUAGGGGAGCAAACGGG
rnacentral:rRNA from 1 species